rnacentral:piRNA from 1 species
UAACUGCAGUCCUCAGUAUGUGG